rnacentral:misc_RNA from 1 species
UUUAUAGCUAUUUUAACGAAUAGUUUGCAGGAUAGAAUUCGAGCAGGAGGACAAGCCCGCUAUUUCGAAAAGUAAAGUUUUAAAAUUUUCUCUUUACAUUCCGCAUGCUUUCGGUUGCGCCUCACUGCCUUUUUAACUCGCAUUUAUUAAUUUCCACAGUGGUUGCGGGUUCAUUUAUAAGCCAAAUAGUGAGGGCUACAAAAUGCACUGCGCCACUAUGUUUCCCAAGUUAUUUUUUCUCGCAUACUUUGAUAUUUACAUGAUUCAAGAGAAGGAGGUGAACUGUUAAAAACCCAUCAAAUCUCAACGAAUUUGGGUAAGUUAACAGACUCUGUUUUAUGAUGUUCGUGGUGUUUGCCUGGAGCUUUCGUGCUAUGUUUAUUAAUUGUGUCUGCAAACCAAUACGUUUCUUCAGCACUUCCUUAUUGCAAAUAAAUUUUGGAAUCUCAGAAGGGUGACAUGGGCAGAUUGAUAGACGUACAGAGUUGUAGAGAAUGUGGAAUGGAGUAUGGAAUAAGGAUAAGAAGCAGUUAUGAUUAUGAAAGUGUCAUAUAGCGGAUUCUGUCAAAGAUGCGAUUUAAACCGGCAUUUGCAAUCACAAAAAUUGUCGGCAUCUGUAUCUUCACAACGUUGCCAGGUCGAGGCUGUUCUGGUUCGACUACAAUUUUCAUAGAUAAGAAGGAUUGAAUGCAGCUUAUUCGGAACACUUCUUUUGGUUUCGUCGACAAAACGGCUCGCUCAUCAGAUUGUAUAGGAGGGAUUCUCAGAAAAAGAAUAUCAUUUUCCGAGAAAUGUAUUCCGCCGAAAAAAACUUAACAGUCAAAUCAAACCUUGACAAUGAGCAAACAAACGGAGCAUAAUAUUAUGGAAUACACGUUGAAGAAUAAACAGCUUUUGAAUCGCGGUACUGACAAUUAAUUACAACAGCAAUGAAAAAAAAAAAACUUCAAGACUUUCGGAAUUCGUCGAAACCGGAAAAUGAAAGCGGUGUACUUCUUUUGUAAUUGGCAUAACGUUCAAAAGCUUUAGGGAAACUAUUUUGAGGAAACUUCUUGCAGCGUGAAAGUAGCUUGAAGAUUAUGAAAAACUUGGCUUCCAAUACAUGUGUGUAAAAAUUAUUCAAGGCCUUGUACUUAAGAAUGGCUGUCUAUGGUGGAGGGCAAAGAGUGUUUGUGCCGAAAGAGCAUAUUGCGAGCUUUAGGCCGUUUUGGUGAAAUUAUCCGAAAACUUUUCAACAUCUUGAUGUUUGGAAAGAAUUUUUUUUUGUAAUGGCAACUGAGCUUGAAAGAUCCUUACGUUCCCAAUAUUUCCAUUUUAAAAUCCACUUUCGCUUUCGCUUCAAGCUUUAAAAUGUACUCCCUUUGUUCUUCUUCAUUACCUCCAAUACCUGAAGGUAAGGCUGAUAAUUUUUUUUUUAUUAUUGUAUCCGUUGUCGAUUUCUUACGAGAAUGUAUUAUUUGCGUGGCUUCACACUUAUCGCUAUUUUCUUACCCAGUUCUUUUAAAAGUAAUAUUCCGAAUCUCACCAAAAUUUUAAAACCAAGAAAUAUUGGGACAGAGAAUCAGAUAAAAACCAGAACAUGUCGAUUUCAUUGAACUUUUUUUUGGCUUGGGGCAGAAAGCAUUGAGGUUUCCUAAUGUAGUUUCUUAGAGCCAUUUGUUCACGUAUUACUCAGUUCUACUUAGGAUCUAAUUUCGUUUAUUAUACAAAUAGAAUUAUCCAACCUAUUUCACUAUAACCUGGAUAAUUCUUGAAAUUUACUGGAUAUGUGAUUAACUUUUAGACCAAGAACAGUGUACUACUUUGUCCAAAGGACCAGAAAUGUCAAUGUCAAAAUAAUUUACUGCUGCAGUGGAUGGAAGAAAAGUCCUUCAAGCUCACGAGAAUGCACGAAAGCGAUCUGCUCCCAAGGUUGUGAUUACAAUCACGAGUCCUGUGUCGCACCCAAUACGUGCCAAUGUUCUCCGAGAUGGACUGGGUCUAACUGUAGCGAAGACAAAGAUGAAUGUGCUACAUAUAAUGUUGGAUGUGACCAACAUUGUGUGAAUGUUCCCGGCUCAUAUCAGUGUAGCUGCAAUAUUGGAUACACCAAGCAUGGCCACAACUGUAUAGGUAUCAUCUCCAUCAUGACGUUCAGAAGUGCUCAUUUGUGCUAUGUUCUCCGUUAGACAUUCAAAAAUCCGUUACUAAAGACAAGAUAACCAUUUCUACACCAUUGGCAACAUCGCGAUGUGAUGAAGCGAAGAAAAGCACCAAUAAACAACUUACAACUAAGACUCCAGAAGAGGCCAAAGAACAGGAAAAUGCUGAAGAGUUUUUUUGGAAACUUCCCGUCACCAUUGGUACACCACUCGCUGCAGUGCUAGUGUUAGGUGCCAUACUUUUGGUAUUCUUCAUCCGUAAGAGGCGGAGAGUAAGAAGGAAUUAUUUACCGGCAAGAACGGCACAGUUUGAGAAUCCAGCCUACCUGGGUAACCCAAACGUAAAGCGAAAGGGAAAACGCACAGAGGAUAACGAAUAUUCAUUCGCAGAGGGGCCAGAAGAUGGUCCUGGAGAUGGUCCUGAAGACUACGACGACAAAGGGGACUUCAAAACCAAGGAUGCCGAUGAGCCGAUAUAAGAAACUUUGCAUAGCUCCUCAAAGGAGAAAACCACUUUUACUUUAACAAACUCAGGCUUUUAGUAAGGCAGCGAUGGUUUAAUGUUUGGCGUUCUUUUCCCUUUUGACCUUGAUUUCAUGUGUUUCGGUUCGUUUUCGUCAGGGCAACUUUAACCUUUUUGCUUUGUCAACGAAAUGGAAUAAGGUAAUGAUUACAGGCGUAAGAAAAUCUCCCCCCUCUUUCUCUCAAAAACGACGAAUUUCGUAGUAAGACCCCGCCCCCGCCCC